CGGACGGGUGAGUAACACGUGGAUAACCUACCUAUAAGACUGGGAUAACUUCGGGAAACCGGAGCUAAUACCGGAUAAUAUAUUGAACCGCAUGGUUCAAUAGUGAAAGACGGUUUUGCUGUCACUUAUAGAUGGAUCCGCGCCGCAUUAGCUAGUUGGUAAGGUAACGGCUUACCAAGGCAACGAUGCGUAGCCGACCUGAGAGGGUGAUCGGCCACACUGGAACUGAGACACGGUCCAGACUCCUACGGGAGGCAGCAGGC
rnacentral:rRNA from 1 species